rnacentral:lncRNA from 1 species
AGUCACCUCAGCUAGCUGCUGCUGCCCAGCUUGCAAACAGCCCUAAGGGAGGUUUGAUACAUCUUACUAGAA